GUGAAGUGGCUGAAUUACAGGCAAUAAAUUGUAAAUUUAUUCAUGAAAUUAAUUUCCUUCACCAU
rnacentral:tRNA from 1 species